rnacentral:tRNA from 1 species
GCGUACGGAAUCGGAGCCGCACGUUCUGCUUGCCAUGCAGAAGGUCGAGGGUUCGAAUCCCUUCAGCCGCU